rnacentral:snoRNA from 1 species
GCAUGGGUUUGGAUUUAUGGCAGGCUCAUCCCCCUGGGCCUCUCAUAGUGCCCCAUGCCAGAGCAAACUGUGGCCCCGAACCAUUGCCUGGCCUCUGUGCCAUAGGCUGCAGGCACUGAAGUGGGUUGCACAGUG